GUCCAAUGGUAUGUCCAAGUCAUCUGUUAACCUCCUCCACUGUCUCAGAUGUUUAGAGUUCCCUUCCCUAUAGCGAAUGAAAAAUGGAAAGCACAGCCAUGGCGUGACCUGGACUGACCUAACGCUUGAUUGCCUCCAUCCCUGUUCAUGGGUUAAUGAAGAAUGAGCUGGCUGAAAGAUGAACAUGAUUAUGUGUAAGACAACAGAUCUUAUGGAAGCAGAAGACUGUAUGGGGGACCUACACAGUGACCAACAGCAGACUAGCAGCAGAACACUGAACAAAAGGAAAACCAGACUUGUCUGUUACAUAUGUUUUCUCACAAGAAAGAGCACACGCGGGGAUUCAGUCCCCAUGUGACUUCAGGAGAAGGCAGAGGAGUUACAAAGAAGGGAUUAACUGGCAAUACAUUUGCAAUUAAGUGCUCUGCCAUCCUUGCUCUCUUUUCAGCAGCUUUACAUUUCCUUCUGUUGACGUUAUACCCCCAAGAUACCCAAAGCAGGUGGGGUGGUCGGGAACGAAGAGUCUCAUAAGCAAACGCUAAAGAGCUCCUAAUUCAAGAUGGACACUAAAACUGCUGAAAAUUUUGUAACAAAUUGUCAACUUUUUGUCCCCCUUCCAAAAGCUCCCAGAGACUCUUGCUCUUGGUGUUGGGAUCUCCUUUCUAACACAGAUAUUGUUUAAAUAUGCAAUGUUAUUUUACUUUAGUUCUCAAAUGAGUCUUUAUUUCAUCCAGAUGUUACUGCUCAUAUCCCUGUCUUCGUUUAGAGCAACACUUUGUAGAAUACCUAAUCUUUAAGUCACUUUUACUUUAAUUCACCACUAUAUUUUUAAACGACUGUGUUUGACAUAAACCACUAGCUGGUUUCACAACUGCAGCGUCUCCACCUUUGGCAAACUCUUCACUUAUUUAUUCCCUCCUCUUUUAAUGGAGUUGCUGGAACCACUUAAAAUCCAUUAAUACACUACAAAUUUCAAGCACAAAUCAUAUUUGUGUGAACUAGUGCAGUUGGAAAUGCUGAAUAACUUCUACUUCAUAUGAAAUCAAGUCCAUUGUAAAUGUGUAAUUGCGAUCCUCAAACAGCUUAAAGAUUUUCUGCAAAUACUAUGUGAAGAGUCUCUUCCUGUGAAAGAAGUGGCACUUAGCACCAAGGUAUUUUCAUCCUGUCAACACUGGUAAGAAAACCAACCGUAGUUUUGCUAGCAGGGAUAAGCCUGAGGUUAGAAACCAAGCACAGAACAGAAAAACCCUACCACUACAGGUUUGAAGCAUCAGCCAUCCCUGAAGCAGCUGUAGAAGUGCCUGCAAUUACCUCAGGAAUGAGGAGCAGCUGAGUUCAGUUCCCAGUUAGCUCUUACUGACCUAGUGGUUGUUAACCCUGUACGUGGUGGGGGGGUCUUUAAGAAUCUUUAAGGUUCUGUCCAAAGUAAGCUAUUCUGUGAUUUAAGAAGUAAACGAGGAAUGGAAGGAUCUUAGGGUUUUACAUAACCAAUUGAGUUAGGGGGCAGUGGGAGGACAAGUGAUGUAAGAGAAAGGUGUGUGUUUAAGCUGCCAGUUUGACACUUGAUCUAUUUCUCUGAAAGGCCCUGUGGUUAGCUGCUGAAGGGUUGGAGGAGAGUCUCCUCUAAAGAAAAAAAUAAACAAAGAAAAACCAUGUAUGUCACCACAGCAGAAGAUACUGCAUUUGGAUGUGUGAGCGAGCAGUGGAUCCUUUGGGAAGUGCCAACAGGGCCUCGUAAUGGCCAUGCCUCCAGAAAGCUGCUGUGGAGAGUCAAAACAAUUAAAAAGUACUUCACCCCCAUGCUCCCUGCAGGAAUUCAGAUGCUCAAGUCACUCUGUCCUUUCUGGAACACAUUAGUUUCACAACAGGUGAUGACAGCAGCCUGAGAGACAGCAAUAGGUAAGAGGAGGAAAGAGUGAGGGUGGAUGCAGGAGGGUGAGAGCACAGUGAAAGAAAUGAACAAGAGCCCAACUACCCCCGUUUGCUGCCAGAGAUAUGCUAAAGCUGACUCUUUGGAAGAGAAUAAAUCCAAC
ensembl:lncRNA